rnacentral:lncRNA from 1 species
GUUAGUUUGUGAUUUUGAACUCAGUCUAGAUCAAUCAUUGAGGGGGGCGGGGCUUCUCUGUGGCUCUAAAACUGUCAAAUAUCCUGUAUUCAUGUCAGAUGAACAUUAUUAGAAGAUACUGCAAGAUAUGAUCUGCUGUUGUUUCCAGAUGUGGAGGCUUCCAGUGAAACGAAGGUCAUUCAUAAACGAGUCGGGGACACCGUGGAGCUUUCAUCACCCUACGCCAACAAUGACAUCAUAUCAGCUUCCUGGAAAUUUGGAGAGAGAAUCAUUGCAUCCACUAAUUUCACAGUAAAACCAACACAAUUGACAAAGAAGGUGUUUUUGAAUCCUUCAAACUUUAGUUUAACAGUGAAAGCGCUGACUGUGCAUGAUUCUGGGAAUUUUAUUUUUGUUCCUGAAAUGAACGGUGCACAAGGAAAAUCAAUCACCAUCACUUUACAGGUUCACGAGCCGCCUCUUCUGAGAAUAGUUAACUUUACUAUGGAGGCCACAAACCUCUCGUGCACAGUUCUUCUAGAGUGCAACGCAAACGCUAACCACUCAACCAUCUACACCUGGACCAUGAGGAACCAAACCACCACUGGCUCCAAACUGCAAUACUUCCACACACCACAAGGAGAAAAAACCAAUUUCUCUUGUAUGAUUUCCAACGAUGUCCAUCAUAAAUCAGCAUUAAUGGUGUGGACGUGCAGCAAAGAUCCAGUAAAUGUUGUCCUUAUUGGGAGCGUGACAGGAGGAUUUUUACUGCUCGUCAUCUUAAUCGGAGCGAUCUUCUGUUUCCGUUCUAUCAGAGGAAAACGUGCUGCUAAUGAAUGUAUGAAUCCAGGCCUCACUUUUGACAUUUGGUCGUGUUGUUUCAUUGUAACUAACAGCUUUAUCCGUCAGCAGGCAGUGACCAAAACGACAUCUCCGUGUAUGCUAGCAUCAAUGAUGCUGUAGUGCGACAUGUCCACACUGUCUACGAUGUGCUCCAGCUUGAUCGUGAUGUCCCUGCCUCGUCCUUUCAGGAAGUUCUUUAAAGAUCCAUGUUAUGGCAAUUUUUAUAUUCAUCAUCAUAUCGUCAAAUGUAUGUUCAUGUGUACAAUUUGUCAUGUUUUAAUACAUGAUGACUCCAUUACUCUUUGCACUUUUGAACAGCUGAAUCAUGUUAGAUUAAACAGUACAGAUCGUAUUGUACUCAGUGCAACACAGAGUCUCUGCUGAAGGCCAUACACACAAACACACACACUAUCAAGGAUAGACAAGAGUGGCGCCCAAUCUUCCUCAUAAUAUACACGUCUUCAUCAUCCUCAAAUGUUUCCACUGUUGGGCAUCUGACUCCCCCCUAUCCUCACCUUAGGGUGGAACUUUUCUGUUAUCUGUAUAAAAACUUAAGCUGUGAAACUGUUAGUUAGAGUGGGUCUUGCCUUUUUGCUCUGCCACGAGCCUUUUGCCUUUCAUUCUUUCAGGAUGGAAGCUUCUUUUUUACUCCUUUUUAUUUUAUUUUAUAAUAAAUCUUUUUUAUUUAAUCA